UAAAAGUUUUUUUAGCUUUAUUUUAUUAUACAAAUUUACUUUAAAUGCAAAUUUUAGUAUGAGUCUAUAAAAUUUAUAAAUAAAAUUUUUAAGCAGACAAUUCGCAGUAAAAAAUAUUAUUUAUUUAAGAAAUUAAGAAAUAGUAAAUGUUUUUAGUAUAAACAAAAUUUGUGCCAGCAGUUGCGGUUAAACAGAUUAUACAAUAAUAAAAAUUUGGCAGUAGUAAAUUAUUUUCUAGAAUAUAUAGUAAAAUUUAUUAGGUGAAAUUUUAAAUUUUUAUAAAUUUGAAAUUAUUAUUGAGACUAAGAAAUUUUUCUAUAAACUAGGAUUAGAUACCCUAUUAUAUAAAAUGUAAAUUUUUUACCAAAUUAGUAUUAGUUAAGAUCUUGAAAAUUAAAAAAUUUGGCGGUAUUUUAGUCUAUUCAGAGGAACCUGUCCUAUAAUUGAUAGUCCACGAUUUUAUUUACUUAUUUUUUUAAUUUGCAUAUCGUCGUAGUUUGAAUAUUUUUACAGAAAGUUAAUUUUCAAUAGUUUUAUUUAAAAGAAAUCAGAUCAAGGUGUAGUUUAUAAAUGAGAAGAGAUGGGUUACAAUAAAUUUAUUUAAACGGAAAAAAUUUUGUAAUAAAUUUUUAAAGGUGGAUUUGAAAGUAAUUUUAUAAAAAUAUAUAAGAUGAUUCUAGCUCUAAGAUAUGUACACAUCGCCCGUCGCUUUCAUUUUAAAAUGGAAUAAGUCGUAACAUAGUAGAUGUACUGGAAAGUGUUUCUAGAAAGAU
rnacentral:ncRNA from 1 species